rnacentral:lncRNA from 1 species
UUGUUGUAUACCUAUACCCGAUUACCUGUGAGUAGCACAGGUAAACGCGAUCACAUGUAGCUGCCUCGACCGAUGUCCUCGCGUGUCAUUUUAUUGUAACGAGACAAAAAAUAAUUAGACAGAAUUAUUAAACUAUUCCCGCUGUAACCGUAAAAUAGCAUCCAUCGCCGUGUUAACUUUCAACAAACGAGGCAUUGCAAACGAAAUAAGAUAUAAUCAAUCCAUAAAUAACGUAACUAGCGAUAACUCCGUGACGGCGAAAAGUAUUUUUUAUCGAAUAUCGUGUUACAAUUAUUUGAAUGAACCAUCCUCGUAUUUAUCUGUACCUUUAUCGUUCAACUUUAACUAUGCUACGACGGAACAAGGAGAAAACGGACAUCCGAAGGAGGAUCCGAAAUAAAAUUCACGACCAACCGUAUAUAAAUCAUACGUCGAGUCAGUCGAUUUUUCUAAGAGGACAAAAUUAGGUAUCCAAAUAUCCAGAACCGGAUGGAAGGUACGCAGUCUCAUGCAUAUACGAGCGUUCCUUUUGCUUCUUCGUGUAAGUACACCGUUCUAUGGUCUUAUAUAUGCAUCCACUGGUACGUGGUUAGCUUACUGAUUAAUUAUUCUUCCAUGAGUUUUUUCUUCUUUCCUCUGUCGAUGGGCUGGUCACUGGUCACGUGAAUACGACGGCGAAGAAAGAGGAGGAAAACAAACGAGAGGAACUAUCGUUCGAAAUGUUUACGAGGGUAAUAAACGUUUUACCCUUGCUAAAGAAUAGAAGAAGGAGGAACGAAGAAGGAACCUCGCAAGAAGUAGGCCGUGCAAAUGAGGUAGUCUGUUGAGCAGCUCUGCAACUAAAAAAGCCAGUCGACUGCUAAUUGAAGAACAAACAAGUACAGUUCAACGCGAGAUUCGGUUUAGAGUUUAGAGAAUCUCGUUCGCGAUGAAAUUAUUCGUAUAGCGAAAUAUAGACCAAUUCGUAUAGACCAAUCUCGAACAGGAAGAAAUUUGUCAACAAUAGCCAAGAAACACGUUUUCCAAACCGAUUUAAUCUUCUCGCGAUGCAAAAUCGACCGAUUAUUCGAUUAUAAUAGUACAUGGCAAAUCGAUGCAUCUAAUUGCAAGCCUACUAUAUCGAUUAUUAAAAAUAGCGAUUAACUUUAAUUGAGAAGCGAACGAUAACAAGUUGCGUCUGCUAAAUUCUCGAGCACCUGGCUAUUUUACAGACGAUUCAUAAUUGACCAGCACCUUAAUUUGCAAGCUCUCGAUACAAUUAUCGUUAGAAGAUUCGUUGGAACCGCUUUAUUAACACCUGAGAACUCGACUUAACGCGUUAACUGUUAAAUAUUCAGAAGAGAGGGAGAGAUAUAUAAAUGUAUUAGAAAAAAGUUGUUUAUUAUAAUAAUACAAAAUAUAUUACUUGUUAUAAACGAGUAAUAUUCUCGAAAAAUCCUUACCUCCGUUACAGUAGUUUCUCUUACGUUUAUAAGAAGUUUCGAUUUUUUAGUUUCACCUUCGAAUCUGCUGUUCCGAUCGAUUCACUGUUUCAUCGAAUCACUUGAACAAGGAGAUACAUUGUUAUACUCUGUUAAAAGAGAAAUAAAAAGAAAAAUUAAAACGGAAAUCAAUGUAAACCACGACACUUAACUGUUAGAUCACGAGAAAUGGUAAAAGAAUAUAUUGUUUCAGCCGAUCGAGACCGAAAAGAUUUUUUAUCUGAACAAUAUCUCUUUUGCUUAUCGCUUAACUGUGACUGAUAAUUCUCUUUUUUUUCGCUCCGUCCUGUUUCGGUCGAUUUAACACCUGGCUCCACGGGUACUAUUAACACGGCACGUUUCGCGAAUCGACACAUCGUUUAUACCAUAUACGGUGAAACGGUAAGAAAUCAUCGACGAACAGAACUGCGAGUCUUCUAGCGGACACUACGAUCCGUUUGCGAAUCAGUGUCGCGACCACGAAAGACGCGGGCUCGCUUCAACCAGGAAAUCGUUCUCGCCUUACAGGAUGCCAGUGCGUCAAUAUUGACACGUUUUUUUACGAAACAUAACGACGGAGAAAUAGAGAGAAGAAGAGAGAAGAAGAGAGAAUCGGAUCUCGACGAUCCUCGAUCUUUCAAAAGAGUAAACAAUUCUCUCUUCGAAGUGUAUCAUGCUUUUAGAUUGUAUCUUCGUCUAUUUAUUUCGAAAGUAAUGACGCGUAAAUUGUUUAUCUACCAUGUUUUCGCUUCAUCGUUCAUAAGUAUCAAGUUGCUCCUUUAAAAUGUUCAAAAUAUACAAAUUCAUAAUUUUCAACUUUUGUAUAUUCGAAUUUUCGACAUUCGAAUGUUCGACUAGUCGAAUUCUCAAGUUUCAAGUUUCAAACUAAUCUCUUAUUUUCGAUGGAAUUUACAAUUCUCUUUCUUUAACUUUAUUCAUAUUGUGCGUCACUCGCACACGGACGAGCUAUCCGUCUUCGUACGUUUUAAAAUGUAAGUCGAAAUCUGAUUCACCCACGGAACAUGCGUAAUCGGUAUAGUUAAGAAAUCGAAAACUGAUUUAAUCGUUCAAUGAACAAUAACGUCGUUAACGAACCGUCUUUUAGUUAUACAUGUAGGAAGUUUCCGCAACAGAAACAAAAUUCCCUUAUCGCACUACUCGGAAAAUUUUCACUCGCUUUUUAACAUUAUCAGGCGUUGGUAUCUUUAAUAAGAAGAAUACCCAAUUAACAAACACUGAUUUAAUUAAAGCAUCAAAAAAAGGGAUCAUCGAAACAACAAGUUAAAUACUCAACUUUUUUAUUGUUCGUUCCCUGUGUUAACUUUUGCUUAUUUAACAAGAAUCGCUAUGUAACAAUAGUAACAUACAUAGUAAACAUAAUACUGUAACUAUUUACAAGUUUCUAGAAAAAAAAGAAACAAACAAAUUUAACAAAUUUAUAAUACUCGUUUAUGGUAAUUAAUUCAACAUCGAUCAAAUAAAACCUAUCUAAUUUGAGCAACUUCCAAUAAAUUCGUUACGAGAUCCUUUGUAACGUAAUUGAACAAUAAAUUACAAAUCUAUAACAAUGUGCGUGUAAUUAAAACAUCUUAACUAAACAAUCGAACAAUUAACUUUGUGCAAAGUAAUAAAUUAGAGUAAUAAUAAAAUAUUAACAAGAGAAUGAUUUGUACAAUCAAAUUUGGUAUAAUAAUCUAGGAAUAAGAUUUAUACAAUGAGAAUGUUGUAAAAAAAUUCUCACUAUACGAAUGUACAAUUAAAAUUGUCAUCGAUCAAGUAAAUAUCAAAGAAUCAAAUCGAUACGAGUAAAAAUGUCGAUAGUUACAAUUUUUUCAUUCAAAGAUUUUCGUUUACGGUGUAUAUCGGUGAUCGUUGAUAUUGAGUUCCAAUUGAUGUUUAUCAAACGUUUAAUAGUACAAAAUUAAAUUUUCUUAAUUCUCUCUUUUUCUAUAUAACAAGCAGCAAACGUAUACACGUUUCUAAUACGCUAUCUUUUCGCAACAAUGUAAAAGUAAUAUUUUCGUAUUGUAACGUAUUACAUUAUUCCCUAUUAAUACUUUGAACUUACUUCUGGCUACGUAAUUGGCUAUCAAUAUUGGCGUUACUUACAAUUAAAUUAGAAGCUAUAAUCGCUUCGAUAAACGUUUCUCGAGUAAAUUGCAUUCCUCUUUGAAACUGUAUUCUAAUCGUAGAUAUGACGUUUAAUUCGGUCAACUAUAAUUAUCUAUUUAUCCCAUAUGCAAUUCAAAUAAUAAAUUCUAACGACUAUUGCCUACAAUAUCGUACAACGAUCAACUAUUAUAAAACAAAGAUAAUUAACAUAGGUUCAGUCUCUAUGCAACAAUAAAUACUAAAAACAAAACGAUUCUUCUUUCUAAAAUAUAACUAUGUAUUAAGCAUCUGUCCAAAAAAACAAUUAUCAUUGUCUAUAUAUGUAUAAUAAAACAGCUGUGAAAGCACUUGCUUCGCUUAACAAAACCCUAGUCGAAGGAAUAAAUAACUAUAGAAUUCAACAACGCGGAAAAGGUCCAAGUUACGCUAAAUUAAACUCGAAAGGAAUAUUACUAAUAAAUAAUUAUUAUGAUCCGGUAACGAGAAUAUGAUCAAGCAGAUUUUGUCGUUUGGUCUUCUUUUUCUUCUUCUUCUUCUUCUUCGACUAGAAGAA